rnacentral:rRNA from 1 species
GACGAACGCUGGCGGCGUGCCUAAUACAUGCAAGUCGAACGAGAGCGACCGGUGCUUGCUCUGGUCACUCUAGUGGCGAACGGGUGAGUAACACGUGGGUAACCUACCCAUCAGAGGGGGAUAACAUCCGGAAACGGGUGCUAAAACCGCAUAAGUUUUCGAACCGCAUGGUUCGAUGGUGAAAAGAGGUGUUGGCUUCUGUUGUUGGUUGAUCCCCCGGUGCAUUAGCUAGUUGUAGAGGUAACGGCUAACCAAGGCCGGGAUGCAUAGCCGACCUGAGAGGGUGAUCGGCCACAUUGGAACUGAGACACGGCCCAGACUCCUACGGGAGGCAGCAGUAGGGAAUCUUCCGCAAUGGACGCAAGUCUGACGGAGCAACGCCGCGUGAGUGAUGAAGGUUUUCGGAUCGUAAAACUCUGUUGUUAGGGAAGAACAAAUGCUAGAGUAACUGUGAACGUCUUGACGGUACCUAAUCAGAAAGCCACGGCUAACUACGUG